CCAGUAGGGGUGGGCCAUCCUCACCGGGUCCUUCUGGACGGAGGGUUCCAGCUCCUGAGCUGAAGUGUUGGAGAGGCCAGCGGUCUGGCCCGGCGGAGGGCCUCCCCACUCGCGGGUUUCACUACCGGGGCUGGCCGUCGCCGGUCACCCUCCGCCUGGCGGCCUUUGCCGGGAGGGCUCUCUCGAAUUCUGAUUUCAUUCUCUGGGCCUCGCCGUAGCUUGUCUUCUUCCCUCAGCCUGCCUCUAAGGAUUUUUCCUUAUCCUUGCUCUCUUCGAGUUACAGCAGUUGGAAACCUUUGACCCAAAGCUUUGGCGCUUGGCAUUAAAGUAACUGUAAAGAUUUUUAGUUCUGCUGGGUCUAGGGGCUUGGGUUUCCUUUGGACCCUACAUUCAAAAAUAAGUGGAAAAUUAAAGUCAGUUGCCCAGAAAGGAUCCUUUGGGUCUCUCCUAUUAGGUUAUUAAAUAUGCUUGUUUCUUCAUUUAGAAACAAAAUACAAAUCUCACUAACCUAUCUCUGACCUCCCAGUCAUUUCUCAACCCACUUCCAUCCCAAUAGAUUUUGUUAUGGUUACUAAAUCCAAGGGACUCUUCAAUUCUGAUCUUUCCUGACCUCUCAGCUGCAUUCCAGGGUGUUGACCACUUUCUUUUCUGAAGCUUUCUGUUCUCUCCUGACUUCUGGGAUACAGAAUUCCUGUUGUUCCCCCCCCCCCCCCCCCCCCCCCCCACACACACACACUUCUGUUCGUCUUUUUGUGUCCCAUGCAGACUGUUCUUCCUGGGACAGCACAUGUAGUAGUCCUGGGCUCUACCCUAAUGCUUCAUUUUCCGUUCUGUGUUCUUUCUUCAUCCUUGCCUACCCACACUCUCAGCUUCAGUUGCCACCUAUAUACAUACAGCUUGUGGACUUAUGUCUCAGAUUUUGCAUCUGAGAUCUAGUUCAGAUCUAUGUAUCCCACUAUUUAGUUAACAUCUCCUGAGAAGCUUUUCCCUACUGGGGUUCCUCAAAGCCACCUCAGUUUGUCCAAAAUAGAACUCAUGCUCUUUCCCCUCAAACCUUAGUGAAAGAUAGCACUAUUUAGUCUGCUCCUUUGUAGUAAAGAGUGAGUGGGCUGGAGGUCAGGUUGCUGGGAUGGAUCCUGGCUACACUAAUCUCUAGGGAAGAUACUUAACUUCUCUAAGCCUUAGUUUCUUGCAAAAUGGUGAUAAUAAUACCCAUCUUAUGGGAUUGUUUUGAGCAUAAAGGGGAUCUGCAUGAAAGGCAUAGCACAGUAUUUUUCUCACAGUGUUUUAACACACAUUAACUAUUACUAGCAUUAUUCACCUACUUCUCUUUAUCAUCAUCAGCCUGUCUAGGCUGCUUUUCACUCUCACCUGACCUAGUCUUGUCAGUUAACUAGUCUUGCUCUAUUCAUCACGGCUGUCUGCCUGUUUCUUGCAUGCCAAUCUGAUCAUGUUUUCUGUACCCACUCCCCACUGCCCCCUUGUUUAAAAUACCUUAGUAGCUUUCCUUUGCUCAUAGGAUGGAGACCAAAAUACUUAAUGUGACCCACUGGGCCCUAUGUGGUCCAGCUCCUAUCAGUCUCCUUGUGUACCAUGUUUCUGCUCCUUUUCUGUGCUCGAGUCACACUGGCCUGUCAUUAUCUUCGAUGUGCCAUGCUCACUUUAAUCAAGGAGUCUUUGCAUAGGUAGUUUCGGUUCUUCAGAUGCCUUUUUCAGGCAAGCCUCCUGUGACCAUGCUGUUUUUCACUAGUCAUAAGUUCUUAUUUUCCUGUGUCUCUUCUUCCUAGCUUUUGCCACAGGUACAAACAGGUAUUCAUUUUUUCCCCUGAUUCUUUUGAUGUAGGUCUGCUCUCUACUAGAAUGUAUUAUAAGCUCCUUUAGGGUAGACCUGUAUUUUUUAUUUACAGCCAUGUACCGCUUAAUGACAGGGAUACAUCCUGAGAAAUGUGCUAGGCAAUUUCAUUGUGUGAAGCACAUAGCAUACACUUACGCAGACCUAGAUGUUACAGCCUACUACACAUCUAGGCUACAUGUGUAUAACCAUCCCAUUGCUCCUAGGAUACAAACCUGUACAGCAUGUUACUGUACUGAAUACUGUAGGCAGUUGUAAGACAAUGUAAGUAGUUGCGUAUCUAAAUAUAGAAAAAGUACAGUAAAAAUAAGGUAUAAAAGAUAAAAUGGGCUCGUCCCAUAAGUGACCCGAAGUGACCUCUGAAUUCACCAUGUACUUGACCCAGAAAACCCCACAAAUCAGGAGGUUCAAAUCUUUGUGUUUACUUCAAGAACACUCAUGAAACUGCCCAGGCUAUGAAGGCAUGCAGAGCUGCAAAGCCACCAGUAUUUGAAGGAUGUCACUUUACAGAAGCAAUGUGUACCCUUCCACUGUUACAGUAGUGGCACUGGUAGGUGUGCUCAGGCCAAACAGUGGGGCUGGACCCAGGGUUACUGACCCAAAGACAGUGCUGAAUUUUUGCUGCACAUGCUUAAAAAUGCAGAGAGUAAUGCUGAGGUUAAGGGUUUAGAUGUAGAUUCACUGGUCAUUGAGGACAUCCAGGUGAACAAACCUCCCAAGAUGUGGUACAGAACUUACAGAGCUUAUGGGUGGAUUAGCCCGUACUUGAGCUCUCCUUGCCACACAGAGAUGAUCCUUCUUGAAAAAGCAGAUUUUUCUCAAACCAGAAGAGGAGGUUGCACAGAAGAAAAAGAUACCCCAGAAGAAACCAAAGAAAAAACGUGUAGCCUGGGCAUAAAUUCAGAAGAAAAUAAAUACUAAUAAAAGUUUAAAAAAAAAAGAUACUGUAGUACAUCUAUGUAGGGCUCUUACCAUGAAUGGAGCAAUCAGGACUGGAUGUUGCUCUGGGUGAGUUAGUAAGUGAGUGGUGAAUGAAUGUGAAGGCCUAGAAUACUGCUGUACACUACUGUGGAAUUGAUAAACACUAUACAGUUAGGGCCAAAUUUUUAAAACAACAUGAAAUUAAGUCAAGCACAAGAGAAAAUGAUGCAAUCAAGAUAUGCUUUGAACAUGAGGUGUAUGAAGCUGCUGCCAGCAUAGAGUGGCAUACUGUUUUAUAGCAAACUGUUGUAAGUAGAAAGAGUACACUCUGAAGUAACAAGAAGUGUAGUA